rnacentral:rRNA from 1 species
GUGGGGAAUUUUGGACAAUGGGGGAAACCCUGAUCCAGCCAUGCCGCGUGCGGGAAGAAGGCCUUCGGGUUGUAAACCGCUUUUGUCAGGGAAGAAAAGGCGCAUUUUAAUACAUUGCGACAAUGACGGUACCUGAAGAAUAAGCACCGGCUAACUACGUGCCAGCAGCCGCGGUAAUACGUAGGGUGCGAGCGUUAAUCGGAAUUACUGGGCGUAAAGCGUGCGCAGGCGGUUAUGCAAGACAGAUGUGAAAUCCCCGAGCUCAACUUGGGAACGGCAUUUGUGACUGCAUGGCUUGAGUGCGGCAGAGGGGGAUGGAAUUCCGCGUGUAGCAGUGAAAUGCGUAGAUAUGCGGAGGAACACCGAUGGCGAAGGCAAUCCCCUGGGCCUGCACUGACGCUCAUGCACGAAAGCGUGGGGAGCAAACAGGAUUAGAAACCCUAGUAGUCC